rnacentral:rRNA from 1 species
AUUGAACGCUGGCGGCAGGCCUAACACAUGCAAGUCGAGCGGAUGAAGGGAGCUUGCUCCUGGAUUCAGCGGCGGACGGGUGAGUAAUGCCUAGGAAUCUGCCUGGUAGUGGGGGAUAACGUCCGGAAACGGGCGCUAAUACCGCAUACGUCCUGAGGGAGAAAGUGGGGGAUCUUCGGACCUUCCGCUAUCAGAUGAGCCUAGGUCGGAUUAGCUAGUUGGUGGGGUAAAGGCCUACCAAGGCGACGAUCCGUAACUGGUCUGAGAGGAUGAUCAGUCACACUGGAACUGAGACACGGUCCAGACUCCUACGGGAGGCAGCAGUGGGGAAUAUUGGACAAUGGGCGAAAGCCUGAUCCAGCCAUGCCGCGUGUGUGAAGAAGGUCUUCGGAUUGUAAAGCACUUUAAGUUGGGAGGAAGGGCAGUAAGUUAAUACCUUGCUGUUUUGACGUUACCAACAGAAUAAGCACCGGCUAACUUCGUG